rnacentral:misc_RNA from 1 species
AACGCAAAUUGCACUCUCUGGCAUUCCGGAGAGUAUGCCUGUUUGAGGGUCGUUAAGAAAAAAUCAAUCCUGUUGUUGACAUGAUUGGAAUUGAGCCUGUCUUUUGACCUUUCCAGGUCUUACUUAUAAGAGGCUUAAAAUUGAUGGUUAUAAUAAGACUUAUGUUUAAUACGUUAAGUUCAUGUCAUACGUUUUAUUAGGUUGUGGCCAUUAUAAAUCAAAUAAUAGUUGAUGUCGGUUUCAUGACCUAUAAUUCAUUCAUAAAAUGACCUCAAAUCAGGUAGGAACACCCGCUGAACUUAA